rnacentral:rRNA from 1 species
GACGAACGCUGGCGGCGUGCUUAACACAUGCAAGUCGAACGGUGAAGCUCCAGCUUGCUGGAGUGGAUCAGUGGCGAACGGGUGAGUAACACGUGAGCAACCUGCCCCAGACUCUGGAAUAAGCGCUGGAAACGGCGUCUAAUACUGGAUACGAGAUCAAGCCGCAUGGUUAUGGUCUGGAAAGUUUUUCGGUUUGGGAUGGGCUGGCGGCCUAUCAGCUUGUUGGUGCGGUAGUGGCUCACCAAGGCGACGAUGGGUAGCCUGCCUGAGAGGGCGACCGGCCACACUGGGACUGAGACACGGCCCAGACUCCUACGGGAGGCAGCAGUGGGGAAUAUUGCACAAUGGGCGAAAGCCUGAUGCAGCGACGCCGCGUGAGGUAUGACGGCCUUCGGGUUGUAAACCUCUUUCAGCAGGGAAGAAGCGAAAGUGACGGUACCUGCAGAAGAAGCACCGGCUAACUACGUG